rnacentral:rRNA from 1 species
AUUUUCCGGUUGAUCCUGCCGGACCCCACUGCUAUCGGGAUAGGACUAAGACAUGCUAGUCGAGUGACUCAGGCAAAACGAGUCACGGCACACAGCUCAGUAACACGUGGCUAAUCUGCCCUUGGGACUAGAACAACCCCGGGAAACUGAGGCUAACUCUAGAUAGGUGAAGAACUCUGGAAUGAGUCUUUGCCUAAAUAGGUUCACGUUAUCCUCGUGAACUUGCCCAAGGAUGAGGCCGCGACCGAUCAGGUUGUUGGCGAGGUAAUGGCUCACCAAGCCUUUUACCGGUGCGGGCCGUGGGAGCGGGAGCCCGGAGAUGGGUACUGAGACAAGGACCCAGGCCCUACGGGGCGCAGCAGUCGCGAAACCUUUGCAAUACACGAAAGUGUGACAGGGCUAUCCCGAGUGCCAUCCGCUGAGGAAGGCUUUUACCCAGUCUAGAACGCUGGGGGAAUAAGGAGAGGGCAAGUCUGGUGUCAGCCGCCGCGGUAAUACCAGCUCUCCGAGUGGUGUGGAUGUUUAUUGGGCCUAAAGCAUCCGUAGCUGGCUAGGUAAGUCCCUUGUUAAAUCCACCGAAUUAAUCGUUGGAUCGCGGGGGAUACUGCUUGGCUAGGGGACGAGAGAGGCAGACGGUAUUUUCGGGGUAGGGGUGAAAUCCUAUAAUCCCGGGAAGACCACCAGUGGCGAAGGCUGUCUGCUAGAACGCGCCCGACGGUGAGGGAUGAAAGCUGGGGGAGCGAACCGGAUUAGAUACCCGGGUAGUCCCAGCUGUAAACGAUGCAGACUAGGUGUUUGGACGGCCACGUGCCGUUCUAGUGCCGCAGGGAAGCUGUUAAGUCUGCCGCCUGGGGAGUACGAUCGCAAGAUUGAAACUUAAAGGAAUUGGCGGGGGAGCACCACAAGGGGUGAAGCUUGCGGUUUAAUUGGAUUCAACGCCGGAAU